rnacentral:tRNA from 1 species
GGCUCAGUUGGUUGAGCGGCUGACUUCGACUCAGGUCAUGAUCUCCUGGUUUGUGGGUUCAAGCCCCAC